rnacentral:rRNA from 1 species
CAAUAGCGUAUAUUAAAGUUGUUGCAGUUAAAACGCUCGUAGUUGGAUUUAUGUCGUACAACUUUUGUCUUUCUUAUGACUGUAUGAUCGUUUGCGACAUCUGUUUCUAGCAUGUAUUUGCAUAGAAACCAGUUACUUUGAGGAAAUUACGGUGUUCAAAGCAGGCUUUUGCCAUGAAUACCUCAGCAUGGAAUAACAGUGACGCUUUCGUUUCUCUGUUGGUUCAAGAAACGUGGGGCUAUGAUUAAUAGAGCCAGUCGAGGGCAUUCGUAUUGAACAGUCAGAGGUGAAAUUCUUAGAUUUGUUCAAGACGAACAACUGCGAAAGCAUCUGCCAAGGAUGGGCUCAUUAAUCAAGAACGAAAGUUAGGGGAUCGAAGACGAUCAGAUACCA